rnacentral:rRNA from 1 species
CCUACGGGUGGCUGCAGUGGGGAAUAUUGGACAAUGGGCGAAAGCCUGAUCCAGCCAUGCCGCGUGUGUGAAGAAGGCCUUCGGGUUGUAAAGCACUUUCAGUGGGGAAGAAAGCCUUGGGGCUAAUACCCUCGAGGAAGGACAUCACCCACAGAAGAAGCACCGGCUAACUCCGUGCCAGCAGCCGCGGUAAUACGGAGGGUGCGAGCGUUAAUCGGAAUUACUGGGCGUAAAGCGCGCGUAGGCGGUCUGAUAAGCCGGUUGUGAAAGCCCCGGGCUCAACCUGGGAACGGCAUCCGGAACUGACAGGCUAGAGUGUAGGAGAGGAAGGUAGAAUUCCCGGUGUAGCAGUGAAAUGCGUAGAGAUAGGGAGGAAUACCAGUGGCGAAGGCGGCCUCCUGGACUGAUACUGACGCUGAGGUGCGAAAGCGUGGGUAGCAAACAGGAUUAGAUACCCUAGUAGUC